rnacentral:tRNA from 1 species
GCCGAUGUAGCUCAGGGGAAGAGCACCGUCUUGGUAAGACGGCGACGCCAGUUCGACUCUGGCCUUCGGCUCCA